UGAACGCAAAUUGCGCUCGAGGCUCCGGCCAAGAGCAUGUCUGCCUCAGCGUC
rnacentral:rRNA from 1 species